rnacentral:rRNA from 4 species
GGGGACGCUUACCACUUUGUGGUUCAUGACUGGGGUGAAGUCGUAACAAGGUAGCGCUAGGGGAACCUGGCGCUGGAUCACCUCCUUAUACGAUGAU